UACGUAGGGUGCGAGCGUUAAUCGGAAUUACUGGGCGUAAAGCGUGCGCAGGCGGUUAUGCAAGACAGAUGUGAAAUCCCCGGGCUCAACCUGGGAACUGCAUUGGUGACUGCAGCGCUGGAGUAUGGCAGAGGGGGGUGGAAUUCCACGUGUAGCAGUGAAAUGCGUAGAGAUGUGGAGGAACACCGAUGGCGAAGGCAGCCCCCUGGGCCAAUACUGACGCUCAUGCACGAAAGCGUGGGGAGCAAACAGG
rnacentral:rRNA from 1 species